UACGUGUGUGAUCCUGCCAAACUUUGCCAACCUGUGUCUCAAUGAGCAAAAGAGGAUGAUAAAGGAAAUUAUCUUGUUCACAUAUUUGACAUCUGCAGACUAUAUAUUCAGACCUAAUAGAGAUUUGAAGCCCCUUUCAUUUUAUAGACGUGGGAACUGAAAUCUCAAGAGAGCUAUCAGACUAACAAUGCAUGUUUGAAAAUCCUAAGUGAAGAGAAGGCAUGACUAUGAACUCAACUACAGACAAUUGUGUUUUCUUCUCUGGAUCUUCAGCACUGGCAGAUACUCAGCAAACGCGCAUGGAUGGACCUUGAAGACAUGUGAAAUAAGUCAUACAGAGAAAAUACCAUAUGAUCUCACUUUUAUAUGGAAUCUAAAAAAAACAAACAAACAACAACAACAACAACAAAACAAGCUCAUAGAUACAGAGAUUAGAUUUGUGGUUACCAGAGGCAGAGAGGGUGGAAGGUGGAUGAAAUGGGUGAAGGAGAUCAAAAGGUACAAACUUCCAGUUAUAAAACAGGGCGGAAAAGCCAGGGUUGGAGUUGAAAGUGUCUACAUAGGUAACAAUUCAUCAAAACUGGUAGAUGUAGGCGAGUUGAUUGCAAAGAAUCUGGAUGAGGUACAACUCAACCAAAAUUUACAACAUGACACUCAAAACGAAAUCCCAUGUUCCAGAUAUGCUCUGACAAGCAAAGGGAAUGGUUGCAGGACUACUUUUCAAGAGCUGUUUGAUUUUAUCUCAACAUUCAAGAAUUCCAUCAGUUUUAAGAUCUUACAUAAGCAAUAUUGUUUUGUUGAUAAGAAAAUGGAACAAGAACCAACACAAAAGAAAGAAUUCUCAGUGACUAUUUUGUUUUUUUUUUUUUUCCAACCUAAAAUAAACAAUACGAGCACUUUUUCCAGGUUCUUCUACUUGGAGAAGCUGCACAUUUGCCAACGAUGAUGUGCAUCCCAGAAACAUCUGAUCACAAAUGCUACACUCCUCUCGUGAAGCCACUGGAUU